GAUCAUGGCUCAGGAUGAACGCUGGCGGCGUGCCUAAUACAUGCAAGUCGAACGCUUCACAUUUGUGAAGAGUUGGCGAACGGGUGAGUAAUACAUAAGGUAACCUGGCAUCUACAGGGGGAUAACUGAUGGAAACGUCAGCUAAGACCGCAUAGGUGUAGAGAUCGCAUGAACUCUAUAUGAAAAGUGCUACGGGACUGGUAGAUGAUGGACUUAUGGCGCAA
rnacentral:rRNA from 1 species